AAAAAAAGAAAAAGCCCAACAGAUCCUAUCUCUCUCUCUCUCUCUCUCUCUCUCUCUACUGUCCGGUCUAGAUUUUGGUGUGUAUGCAGUAGCACAUAUUCUAACUCUUUCUCUCUCCCUGUUUGCAAUGGCUCACCUCUUCAGAGACCUGUCUCUGGGCCACUCCAAGAGGGAGGCGACACCGUCACCGCCACCAAUAAUGCCUUCCAAAGCUCCUCUCACCGAUCUCCCAUCCCCACUCGGCCAACUCGCAGCCCAGCUCACCGAUUCCGACCUCCGACUCACCGCCUACGAGAUCUUCGUCGCUGCCUGCCGCACCUCCUCCGGUAAGCCCCUCACCUACGUCCCCAAUUCCGACUCGCCAGCUCACCACUCGCCUGGCUCGCCCGGCUUGCAGCGAUCCCUCACCUCCACCGCCGCCAGCAAGGUCAAGAAGGCAUUCGGUCUCAAAUCGCCCUCCGGUUCUGGCUCCAAGAAGAGUCCCGGGUCGGGUUCCGGUUCCGGGUCUGGUCAGGUGAAGCCGAGGAGGCCAAUGACUGUUGGGGAGCUUAUGAGGACUCAAAUGGGGGUCUCGGACGCCACGGAUUCCAGAGUCAGAAGAGCUCUUCUCAGGAUCGCUGCUGGCCAGGUUGGAAGGCGAAUUGAGUCGGUGGUAGUCCCACUAGAGCUAUUACAGCAACUCAAGCUUUCAGACUUUACCGAUCAACAAGAAUAUGACGCAUGGCAGAAGAGAACCCUGAAAGUUCUUGAGGCUGGUCUCCUUUUCCAUCCCCAUACGCCGCUAGAUAAGUCAUAUUCUACCGCACAGAGGCUGCGGCAAAUUAUUCAUGGGGCUUUGGAUACACGCAUAGAAACUGGGAAGAACAAUGAAUCUAUGCAAGUUCUUCGUAGCACUGUUAUGGCUCUUGCUAGCAGAUCAACUGACGGGUCUCUCUAUGAUACAUGCCACUGGGCAGAUGGGUUUCCGCUGAAUCUCCGGCUCUAUGAAAUGCUUCUAGAAGCCUGCUUUGAUGCUAAUGACGAGACAUCUAUUAUUGACGAAGUUGAUGAGCUAAUGGAACACAUUAAGAAGACAUGGGGAAUUCUUGGAAUGAACCAGAUGCUCCAUAACAUUUGCUUCACGUGGGUUUUAUUUCACCGUUUUGUUGCAACCAGCCAAGUUGAGAUGGAUCUGCUGUAUGCAGCCGAUAGUCAGCUUGCAGAAGUUGCAAAAGAUGCAAAAACAACAAAGGAUGCAGAGCACUCCAAGAUCUUGAGUUCUACAUUGAGUUCAAUAUUGGGUUGGGCAGAAAAAAGGCUCCUUGCAUAUCAUGACACUUUUGAUGCUGGAAAUAUUGAUACCAUGCAGGGCAUUGUUUCUUUGGGGGUAUCAGCUGCCAAGAUCUUGGUUGAAGAUAUAUCUAAUGAGUAUCGCAGGAGGAGGAAAGGUGAAGUUGAUGUGGCUCGCAACAGGAUUGACACUUACAUCAGGUCAUCACUACGCACGGCUUUUGCUCAGCGAAUGGAAAUGGCAGACUCAAGCAGGAGAGCAUCCAAAAACCAGCCAAAUUCUCUUCCUGUCCUUGCCAUCCUUGCAAAGGAUGUUGGUGAUCUGGCCAUUAAUGAAAAGGAGGUGUUCAGUCCAAUACUGAAGAGAUGGCAUCCUUUUGCAGCUGGUGUGGCUGUGGCCACCCUUCAUUCUUGCUAUGGGAAUGAGCUCAAGCAAUUCAUAUCGGGUAUGAUGGAGUUGACACCAGAUGCAGUACAAGUGUUGAGAGCUGCGGAUAAGCUGGAGAAAGAUCUUGUGCAGAUAGCAGUGGAAGAUUCGGUGGACAGUGACGAUGGAGGGAAGGCAAUAAUUCGUGAGAUGCCUCCUUAUGAAGCUGAAGCUGCAGUUGCCAAUCUGGUUAAAGGGUGGAUCAAAAACAGCUUAGACAGACUGAAGGAAUGGGUUGACAGGAAUCUGCAACAAGAGGUCUGGAAUCCACUGGGAAACCAAGAAGGAUAUGCUCCAUCUGCUGUUGAAGUUUUGCGAAUUCUAGAUGAAACUUUGGAUGCAUUCUUUCAGUUGCCAAUACCAAUGCAUCCUGCACUGCUUCCUGACUUGAUGGCUGGUCUUGACAGGUGUCUUCAAUAUUACAUAACCAAGGCAAAAUCUGGCUGUGGAUCACGGAAUACAUUUAUUCCCACCACGCCAGCAUUGACGAGAUGUACUAUAGGAUCAAAGUUCCAAGGCUUUGGAAAGAAGAAAGAAAAAUCUCCAAAUUCUCAGAAGAGGAAUCCUCAGGUUGCUACAAUGAAUGGGGACAACACCUUUGGAAUAUUGCAGCUGUGUGUUCGUAUAAACACUCUGCAAAGAGUCUGGAGUGAGUUGGAUGUUAUGGAGAAGAGGAUAAUCACUCGUCUCAGAAACUCUGAGUCUGCUCAUGCAGAGGACUUUUCAAAUGGUUUAGGGAGGAAAUUUGAGCUUUCUCCGGCUGCUUGUAUAGAAGGAAUUCAGCAACUCUGUGAGGCAGUGGCUUAUAGAAUAAUCUUCCAUGAUCUAAGUCAUGUUCUAUGGGAUGGUUUAUAUGUUGGAGAGCCAUCAUCUUCUAGGAUCGAUCCUUUUAUUCAGGAGCUUGAGAAGAACCUGCUGAUCAUUUCAGACACUGUGCAUGAAAGAGUUCGUACACGGCUUAUUACUGACAUAAUGAGGGCUUCCUUUGAUGGGUUCUUGCUGGUAUUGCUUGCUGGAGGCCCCUCCCGUGCUUUCUCUCGGCAAGACUCUCAGAUAAUAGAAGAUGAUUUUAAAUCCCUUAAAGAUCUAUUCUGGGUUGAUGGGGAUGGCUUGCCUUCUGAAUUGAUAGAUAAGUUUUCUACUACGGUGAGAGGUGUCCUUCCACUCUUCCGAACUGAUACCGAGAGUCUCAUUGAGCGGUUCAGAUGUGUGACCUUGGAGACAUAUGGCUCUUCUGCCAGGUCCAAACUUCCACUACCUCCAUCUUCUGGGCAGUGGAACCCAACAGACCCGAACACACUUCUACGUGUUCUAUGCUACCGGAACGAUGAAGCAGCUUCAAAGUUUCUAAAGAAGACUUACAAUAUGCCCAAAAAACUGUAAUAAACUUGAGUGUGGUGCAUGGACAGGGCAACCAAGGCAAGCUGUUCUUGCACUGAUGGUGCAUUUGCAGAACAUCUCGUAGUUCUGCUUGUAUUUAGUAAAGAUGAGCCAGGAGGCUCCUUAUUUCAUGUGCGGGUGAGCAUCAGGUGGCUUAAGAAGUAGCAAUGAUCCUGUAUAUUACAUUGCAAGUGGCUUGGUUAGCAUUGGCCACUGUUUGUGACCAUCUAAAGUCCGAGUGGAGAUAAAAAAGGGUGCAGAGGACUUCCAGAGGCAUGCUUGUGAUGGAAGGUGGACCGAUAUUCUUUGAAAUUCAUUUUCAUACGAAGUCAUGAGAUUACUUCGAUGCUACUCUUGUCCAUUCUAUACCGUAUUUUUUGCGGCAUUUAUUUUCCUCUCAAGUUUCCUUGGCUCUCAGGAUUGACUCUUUGAUUACAACCCGUGUCGCCUCCCUCCUCUUCUUCCUCUGCCUCCUAAACAUGUACCCAGAAAUGGCCAAAAAAAGGAAACUAAAUAAAUAAAACCCUCCGAAACUGCCACCAAGACUGUUCUCGUCGUUUGAGGGCUGUCAUUGAAUAAGUGAUUCUUUCUGGCAGUAAAUUCAUUCCACAACAGUAUUCUGGCCGGGCUUGGUGACAGCCUAAUAGCUCUGCUCCGCUCCGCUU